rnacentral:misc_RNA from 1 species
AAGUCGUAACAAGGUUUCUGUAGGUGAACCUGCGGAAGGAUCAUUAACACGUAUCCAACGUUUAACCACCCCGUGCACCUUCAUUGAAACCCUACGUUAACACGAAUUGCCUGGCGGAAAAACGGAUCGGGAUCGCAACUCACACGAGGUGGAUGAAGAUGGACCCAAGGAAGAUCGUUGGAAGCGCGUUACAAACAUGCUGGUUGGAACGGAAGGGUCCUGAAGCUAGGCGCGUUGCCAUUGAUUUCGGGUUGGCGUAUCCCCGCGUGUCUGGCCCACCGCGGAACAACCUCACAAAAAAACCCUACCGAUGCGCCGGAUCCUAGCGGGUUCAGGUGUCGGAAACCCCGAACAACUGUUAGCAAUGGAUAUCUUGGCUCUC